rnacentral:rRNA from 1 species
UAGGGAAUCUUCGGCAAUGGGGGGAACCCUGACCGAGCAACGCCGCGUGAGUGAAGAAGGUUUUCGGAUCGUAAAGCUCUGUUGUUAAGGAAGAACGAGUGUGAGAAUGGAAAGUUCAUACUGUGACGGUACUUAACCAGAAAGGGACGGCUAACUACGUGCCAGCAGCCGCGGUAAUACGUAGGUCCCGAGCGUUGUCCGGAUUUAUUGGGCGUAAAGCGAGCGCAGGCGGUUAGAUAAGUCUGAAGUUAAAGGCAGUGGCUCAACCAUUGUAGGCUUUGGAAACUGGUUGACUUGAGUGCAGAAGAGGAGAGUGGAAUUCCAUGUGUAGCGGUGAAAUGCGUAGAUAUAUGGAGGAACACCAGUGGCGAAGGCAACUCUCUGGUCUGUAACUGACGCUGAGGCUCGAAAGCGUGGGUAGCAAACAGG